AUUGAACGCUGGCGGCAGGCCUAACACAUGCAAGUCGAGCGAACCUAGCUUGCUAGGUGAGCGGCGAACGGGUGAGUAACACGUAGGAAUCUGCCCGAUAGUGGGGGACAACGUCUCGAAAGGGACGCUAAUACCGCAUACGCCCUACGGGGGAAAGCAGGGGAUCUUCGGACCUUGCGCUAUCGGAUGAGCCUGCGUCGGAUUAGCUAGUUGGUGGGGUAAAGGCCUACCAAGGCGACGAUCCGUAGCUGGUCUGAGAGGUUGAUCAGCCACACCGGAACUGAGACACGGUCCGGACUCCUACGGGAGGCAGCAGUGGGGAAUAUUGGACAAUGGGCGAAAGCCUGAUCCAGCCAUGCCGCGUGUGUGAAGAAGGUCUUCGGAUUGUAAAGCACUUUAAGUUGGGAGGAAGGGCAGUAAGCUAAUACCUUGUUGUUUUGACGUUACCGACAGAAUAAGCACCGGCUAACUCUGUGCCAGCAGCCGCAGUAA
rnacentral:rRNA from 1 species